UACGUAGGGUGCGAGCGUUUGUCCGGAAUUAUUGGGCGUAAAGGGCUCGUAGGCGGUCUGUCGCGUCGGGAGUGAAAACUCAGGGCUUAACCCUGAGCCUGCUUCCGAUACGGGCAGACUAGAGGUAUGCAGGGGAGAACGGAAUUCCUGGUGUAGCGGUGAAAUGCGCAGAUAUCAGGAGGAACACCAGUGGCGAAGGCGGUUCUCUGGGCAUUACCUGACGCUGAGGAGCGAAAGUGUGGGGAGCGAACAGG
rnacentral:rRNA from 1 species